rnacentral:lncRNA from 1 species
UCACCGGUAGAAUAUGCAAAACUGCAUUAUAUAUAGUUCAAUAAAAAUAAAAAAAAACAUCAACUAAUCUUACUAUUUGUUAAGUACAAAAAUAAAGCAUAAAGUAAUACUACCAACACAAACAAGAAAGAUAUCUCUGUACAGUUUUGUGCCAGAAAAAAAUAGCAGAAAAAUAUAUUUCAAAACCUUUUUUGUUUUUGUUUAUAAGCACACCAGUAGGUUUGAUGAACAUUUUUGCAGGGUGCCGAAUCUUUAUGCACAAUUCAGUUAGCUUUGACAAAACUCGACUUCUGCGUCUGAUAUUUAAUACAUAAGCUUAAACGUUAAGAUAUUUUGUCACUUUUACAUACUUUCCCCAAAUAGAAUACUGCAUUAUACUGAUAAUGAAAGUAAAAGAUAUACUGUGACAAUGAGUACAAAUAUUUCCCAAUUAAAUUCUUUAUCAUAUAUAAUGCAAAAAAAA